CUCCGAAACGAUCUAUCGCGAAGCAGAAACGAUCGACGCGGUAAAUCGUGUCGGACCGAACCGUCUUCUUCUCUAUCCAUCGAUCGCUACGAGGCUACGCUUACGUAACCGCGAACGCGAGCGCGCUUUCAAGCGACGGAAAUAACAGAAGAAGCGUUUGGAAAGUCUACGGACGCGUGUCGUCGUGGAAGGUUAGGCGGUUUAGUCCACGCUUGUAACACAGAACGUCGGGGCACGUUCGUAACUCAUCCGCCCGCGACCGUAACUCGUAACGUUCCCGCGCGUUGUCGGUGGCUACAACUAAGGAAAGCCCGCCAACGAUUUCAUUCGUUUCAAUUAACCCUUUGUACUCGGGCCCUUUCUUUACUGGUAUCUAACCAGCAAAUCGAGAUGCUUCGUAAGCGUUCUAUUGCCAGAAAUGCUAAAGCUUAGGUCGACUUCCAACAUGAGAUCUCUAAUUUGAGAUUCGAAAAUCGGAUCACCCCUUCGACAAUUAUUUCAUCGACACCUCGAGUUCUAAUGAAACGAAACUCACAGAAAUAUUGUUUCUGGUUGAUUUACUGCUUCUGUUUCUUUAAGUAUUCCAAGGUUCCUUCAACCGUGUCAUAUUACAAUUGUUUUUUUUUCUUUUACCAGUACACGUUACCGAUGUCCCGUCUACGCUGCUCGUAAACAGUGUUCCGUUACAAGCGCAGACCUGCCAUUUCGGGCAGUCGUUCUAUCGAAUUGUCGGCCAAGGCUCGACGCAAGGAUAUUCGAACGAACCCGAUUGAAGACGUUGGACAUUUUCCUCGCGAGCAGUGCUCUAAAAUCGGCUUACUUUGCACCUACGACGUAUCUUUGCCCGGGGAACCCGAACAAAAUUAAUUAAUCCAUCUCUCGGCUACGUCUGACAAGAAGAGGUCACCGAGCGUGACAUUGCCUUCUUGAUCAGCUUUUGCUUUGCGGUAGAUAAAUACAAAACUAAAGCUAGUGGUAUACAGCUUUUGAGGGCGAACAGUUUAUAGUUUAUAAGAUGCAAAGGGUAAUGAAAAAAUCAACGUCACCCUUGGGGACCUGUUGUGAGUUAGGUCUGGGUGAGGAGCGAUUUAGAUGGGAAAACGAGCAGGUGAAAACAGUUUAUAACGGUAACGUUUGUAACAGGCGUCGUGUAAAAUCGUUUAUUUAUUCAUUCGUAUCGAUAAUUAACGGGUUCGCUAUGUCCAAUCGGAACAUCUUGAAUUGGACGUAGCAAAAGUAAUUAUACAUGAUAUCGUGUACAAAAUCAAUUAAUCCUAAUAUCAGAAUGCAAUACUAUGUACAGACCUGGAGAUAUAUAUAUAUAUAUAAAAUAACAUCGUUUUAAACAUCAUUUCGAGUAACGCGUUAUUUUACUUCAUAAUUAUUUGAAAUAAUUGCGUAACUGUUCUCCUCUUUGUCAUCCAAAUUUAAUAAGAAAUAAACACGUUAGCAUUUUGUCGAAAUAAAAUUGAUCGGUAUUAAGAAACGUUUUCCUAAAGUAUUACUCUCUAGUGAAAGAAUUUUACCCAAAGUUGCCGUAAAUAUUACGUAAAAUAAAUUCCUAUCGUUGCACAUUAUCACGCGGAUGAUUUCUUUCGUCAAAUUCGAAACACAAAAAUAACCAAACAUCGAGGUAGCUGUUAUUUAUACAUUCGAAUAACAAUAUCGAAAGCAACCGACCGAGACAAAUUAUUUCAAAUAGUUAUUUCACAUUUUAAUUUCGCUUAGAAUACGCCCAGGUCUGACCGUGUACAAUUUAGUUUCGACUUUCAUUGAUCCAUCCGCGAUGGACUUCGAUGGAAGGAUACCAAAUAGGUGCAAAGUAACUCCUAUUUUACGGUAUCGCUUUCUUUUACGCAUCGUCGAUUUCGUAUCGGCGCUCGUAUUGUUUUGAUCGUCGAGGACAAAGGGGACGACGUCUUACCCGGUGUCUCUGUUUACAUACGGAGAAGAGGGGAACGGAAAAAAAAAAAAAAGGGUGUGCGGACG